UUAAGUAUAGUUUGUUUUAAAUCUAAUGGUGAUUGACCAUAAAUCUCUUGGUUGAUAACUGACCAGGUGAACAUUACUGUUCUAAGAUUGGGUAAUUUGCUGAGCAGAAUAUGAUGGAAAACUAGCAACAAAUAAACUAGAAAACAAACUCAAAGAGGCACUAGACAAAGGUUACAAGUCAAGGAGUAAAAUAUCGACGAUCAUGGAAAUUUCGAUGGUUCGAAAAAAUGAAAUCUCGAUGGAUAUAUCGAGAUAAUAUCGAAUAUCGAUGGAAAUUUUACUAAAUUUUAUCUAAAAGUUGUAUAUUCGACCAAAAAUAGACUAAAUAUAAAAUAUCGGAAAGAUAUGAAAAUUAAUAUCGGUAAUAGUAAAAAACGGAAAUUUCGAGGAUAUUUUGGAUAUUGAACUCUUACAACUUACAAGAAUGGCGAGGACCAAGGCGCCCCAACAAGCAAACAUGUAAAGAGACUAGCAUUAAUAUCUUAGCGCAUGCAUAACAUAACAAUGAAUAUAUAAUAUGAAAAUGAUUCUUGGUCUUAAUAAGGCUUAAGAUUUAUGACUUUAAUCUUAUGUAGCAUGCUAUAUAUGUAAUAUCCCACAUCGGCCAAACGGAGAGGGGUUAUGUGCUGUAUAUGUACAUGCCCACCACCAACCUAACACGAGGCCUUUUGGUGGCUCAGCGGCUUCGGAGGGGAUGGGUACUCCGAGGUUAAGCAUGUUGAUGCUAGAGCAAUCCCAGGAUGGGUGACCUACUGGGAAGCUGCUCGUGAGCUGCCAAAAACAAAACCGUGAGGGCCGGUGGGCCCAAAGCGGACAAUAUCGUGUUACGGCGGAGCGGGUCCCGGGGUGUGACAAAUGGUAUCAGAGUCACUCUGCCGUGUGGUGCGAGUGUGCCGACGAGGGCGUCGGACUCCCAAGGGGGGUGGAUUGUAAUAUCCCACAUCGGCCAAACGGAGAGGGGUUAUGUGCUGUAUAUGUACAUGCCCACCACCAACCUAACACGAGGCCUUUUGGUGGCUCAGCGGCUUCGGAGGGGAUGGGUACUCCGAGGUUAAGCAUGUUGAUGCUAGAGCAAUCCCAGGAUGGGUGACCUACUGGGAAGCUGCUCGUGAGCUGCCAGAAACAAAACCGUGAGGGCCGGUGGGCCCAAAGCGGACAAUAUCGUGUUACGGCGGAGCGGGUCCCGGGGUGUGACAAUAUAUGCCACCGGCCACCUAGACACAUCACUAAUUAAAAUGAUUAUGUCAUGUCGUUCUUAAGCAAAAAUACAAUUUUAUCCUUUCAAAUCUAAUGACUCUAGAUUAUUUUGUCUUUUUAUUAAGAGAAAAAAAUUGAUUUGUCUUUCUUUUAUAAUUAAAAAAUAUAUAUUUCUAACAUUUCUUUCUCGUUUUCUCUUCAUCACUAUUAUGCUUAGAUUGAACGUAACAUAUAGUGUGAGAAUACAUAUAUUUAUGAGAAUAUACUUGUUCAAAACCACGAGUUCUUAAGAAAUAUAUAUAUAUAUAUAUACAUAUAUAAUUUGUCCAAAGAAAAAACAAUUUCGUUCAAGUAAUUUUUUUUACAUACACACACACAGGUAAUCAUCCAAAAGAAAUUUGAUAGAGAUUUUUCUAUUUUUUUUUAAAUUCGAUACAGAAUAUGGCUUAUAUAUAAAUAUCAUAAUUUUAAAUUGCAAAAUAAAAUAUUAAAAUGGAACUAAAUUUCGAUUCAC
rnacentral:lncRNA from 1 species